CAAGCGGCCCCGCGAGCCCCUGGCGCUGAUUGGCUGCGAGGCUGGUACCCUCCGCUAUCGUCGCGGCCCCCCCACAGCUGAUUGGCCGAAGCGGUGAGCAACCUCGCACGGUGAUGCUAUAACGCCAGCGCGUGAUGUCAUAGGGCUCGGCGCCACACGCCUCUGCUGUAGCAGCCCGUUGAGGACGAAGGAGAACUUGAUGACGUCACAACACUACCAUAUGAUGCCAUCCUCCCGCAAUGGAACUGUUACUUUCCAAGCUCCCGCAUAAAGUAGUACUUUUGAACCCUCCAUUCAGUAGAGGACUGUCUGCGUUGCCUGGCAGAACUGCUCUGGGAUUUUUUACAGGGGUAUCUCUCAGCCUUGAUACUAUUCCAUUAGCAAUAGCCCUGCACUGAAUUUCAAAAGCAUUUGUUUGAAAAAAUUGUUAUAGACUUUGGUCAGAUGAAAGUAGCUGAAACUAUGAUGAAUCAGAUAUGAUCAAUCCUUCUGCAUUGUUGUUAACUUUGACAGAAGUUUAUAUUGCACUGUGACUGUAGAGAAUUAGAAAUGGGGGGGGGGGCAUUAUCAACAACCUGAUUUAGAGUUUAAUUAAAAACUGGAGCUUGCUCAGAGGAAGACCUCCAGUACAGUGAGGGGGAAGGAAAUCAAGUCCAAUUAGAAAAUUUAAGAAGAAAUAGAGCAGCAACUUUUGAAUUUUUGAAUUGCUAUUACAUAGCACAAAUUCAUUUCGUGUCAUUCAGGGUAGAUCCAAACUAACAGCUUCAAAUUACAAGGGGAUUUCAAUUAAACAUUAUAAAGAACUUACUGAUGAUAUGAGCUGUUUUAACCACAGUGGAUGGAGCAGUCACAGAUUUUGUAUAUCAGCUGACUAAAUGUAUUUUGAGGUCCCUUCUAUUAUUCUAGAUGCAUACUUGUGUUUAGAUAACCUAAUUCUUUGUGGUCCUUUUGCUUUAUACCUUGAAGACAAAGUCGCUGAACUCUGGAAGGACAUCGUUGUUGCAGUCUGUUGAGGUGCCCAAUGCCAUGCAUGUCUAAACUGGUGUUGUAGGAUCAAUUUCAGCUGAUGUGGCCUGACGAUGUGGGCAGGGUGCUUGCAGCAAUGAGUCUAACUACCGUAUGUGCUCUCUUGCUCCUUGCCCUCAUUUGCUAAUAAAAACUAGCAGAAAAUAUGUGAGUGGGCGGGUUCACAAUGUAGUUAAUGCAUGUCUGUUUAAGAGGGUGGUCUCCAGUGUUCUCAACAAGGCAAGGGCACCCUGGACCCUCUGAUGCAGAGUAACUACCAACCAGUUGUGUAUUAUUAGUAAGGUGCCUAGAGAAGGUUGUAGCAUAACAACUGCAGGCAUUCCUCUCCCCAACACUAGAACUUGUGGAUAUCCAAAGAAGCUGAAUAUUAAAACUUUAUUCUCAGA